rnacentral:tRNA from 1 species
GGGAAUGUGGCUCAGUGAUAGAGUGCUUGCCUAGCAUGUAUGAAACUUAGGGUUUGAUUCCUCAGUUCCA